GUUUAAGCUCCAGCGACACAUAAAUAAAUCUUAACAACAGUAGCAGGUAAGAAACAAUCAGUCUCCACCGCUUCCAUCAACUCCAAUUUUCCGCCAUACUUCUUUUGCCUCUUCCCGAUCAUUCUGUUCCUUCACCUCUGCUUUCCUUUUCAUCCUUGCAGGAAACGAAGAAUUUGCCGUCCCUGCAAACCGCAUUGCCUCUUGAACUUGCGAACAAUGUGAUCAGACUCGAAGAGCUAAGUAUGUUGGUCAUCGGGUAUGCAAAUUCAUUUUUUUGGUGAUGAAGAACGUGUUUUGUUGUGACUUCUCAAUGAGAUUGAAGCAACACAAUACAGAAUUUGUCGUUGAUAUGGUGCGGGGGGAAUUCAAAAAACAUAAGCAUAAGACGGACCCAGAAAAGAUUCAAACUUUGAAGGAUGACGCGGCAAGGGGACUCAUAAACCAUAUACCGUUCGAGUCCGAGAAGAUGUCCGGCCGAAAGUUCAGCAGCAAGAGCUAGGUCUUUUGAUGCCAAGGUUUUUAAUUUCCUUCUGAGAUUCCAGUUUGUUGUAUGGGAUGAAGUUUUCGCUUUGAAAUAGGCGAUAACAUUGUAAGCUUUAAUGCUUUAUCGCCUGUUUAUGAAUUGUGAAUGCUUAGUUUCUUGGUAACUUUAAUGAAAAGUUUCCAGUACUGUUCAUUUUAAUAAAAAAUCAUAUUUUUAC